rnacentral:misc_RNA from 1 species
GUACCUUCAAGCAUUGCUUGGUGUUGGGUGCUUGUCCGCCAGCGGACUCACCUGAAAGCUAUUGGCAGCCGCCGCGAUGGCAGCAGAGCGCAGCACAUUUUGCGACUUUGCCCUCCGCGUCGGCAUCCACAAGCCCUUUUCAAC